rnacentral:RNase_P_RNA from 1 species
CCCGCCGGACGGGCAGUCGCCCGCUUGCUUCCGAAAGGAGGCAAAUGGGAGGAAAGUCCGGUCUCCAUAGGGCAGCAUGCCGGCUAACGGCCGGGGGGAUUCGCUCAAAGCGAGUUUCACGGAAAGUACCACAGAAAACAAUACCGCCUGCCAUGUAUAUGGUGGGUAAGGGUGAAAAGGUGCGGUAAGAGCGCACCGCGUCCGCAGUAAUGCGGAUGGCAGGGUAAACCCCAUGUGGAGCAAGACCAAAUAGGGGACGAGGAGCGGCCCGCUCCGUUACCAGUUCCGGGUAGGUCGCUGGAGCCUCGGAGUAAUCCGAGGCCUAGAUGAAUGAUUGCCGCCCCAUCUCUGAAAAGAGCGGGGGACACAGAAACCGGCUUAUAGUCCGGCGGGUCUG